CUCAGAACCAUUUCUGUAAAGUGUUCUGAGUUACAAUGUUACCCCAGACCAAACAGAAGUUCACGGUUGGUUCCAGGGGUGAGGGGAAUGGGCCUGGGGCUGG